rnacentral:lncRNA from 1 species
GGGAAUUAUCUCACCACCUACGUACGGGAGCCCGAACAAAAGGCUCUGGCCAUUUUAUGGACCCAGGGGUGGGGAUGGGGGUGAGCUGGAGAGGGGAGGACUAGGUGUGGGAAACAGUGAAUAUUGAGUCAGAGAGAAAAAAGAGGCUUCAAGUGUCCUCCCCAGUGAGGAGGCCUCCGCAGAAUGACCCGAUGAAGAGACCUCCUCUCUCUGAAUGCAGGGAGGGCUAGAGAUGCAGAUAUGCAUAAGCGCAUGGUGCUGAGGAUGGAGUGACUGAGCCCUUGACUGCAGCUCCCUUCAGAGACUGCAGUUUACUGGCUGCACACAGUCUGGUGUGGGGAGGACAAUUUUUCCCUGUGAAGCCUGCCAGGAUAUAAAGAUGUUUAAUUGGACAACCUUAUUCAUUCAGCUGUGACUUGCAGAAGGAUCUGAGCAGGUUUCAGAUAGUAGCUGAACAUGGCAUAGAAAUUUAGGAAUUUCUCUUCCUCAACAACCCCACCUGACACAAGCAUCAGCCACGGUGAGCUUGGCGAUGAUCUCCCUUCCCCUUUGCUACGGAGCUGGUUUGGAUUAAAGUCACAUACAAACUGAGCCAUCUCCAACAUCUACAUCAGGAAGUAACUCUAACUCAAGAUAGAGGUCACUGGAGGGGCAACAGGUGCUGAGAUGUCUAUGCAGGCAAGUCUGAGGUUAGCCUCCCAGAGUUUCGGGGAAAAGCACACAGGCAUUCCUGAACACUCUGAGAGGUGCAGAAAAGUGGCUGAGCAGACAGACACAAGGUCUGGCAUGGAGGCAGAGGAUCACAGCGGAGCAUGGACCUAACAGCUGGAUGCCGUGUGGUGAUAUCACUAUCAGCAGAAGAUGCAACAAGACCGGGGCCACUGCUCAAGGCCAGAGAAACAGGUUCAUGGAAAACCAGUUUAGCAUCACUAACAAGCCACCUUACGGGUGUAGAUAAAGGACUGGCGCCACAACGUCUAUAUGGACUAAACUUUUCAUUUUCAUCACUUUUUGCUUUUGACACCUCCUCCUGCAUGAGGGACAACACCAUUCAGCUGUUGGGAGACAACUGUCCUCGAGUCUCAUGUGUUCCUGCAUUUGUUGUGAGGAGAGGCUCUAACGAUCUUUGCUUCAGACUAUCUUUCCAAGGAUAUUCGUAUGGUGAACAGCACUGAAGGGUAGAGAUGGUGUCUCCCACCAGAGCAGAGGAGAAAUUUGUCUUCUGGCCAGUGUAAUAUAGAUACCUUCCUAGAGGGAAAAGGGUGGGCCUAUUUGCCUGCACCCCAUUAGAAAAGACUGGAUUUUAUACGCUCUGGGUUCCUUGGCUCUUCAUCAUCCUUGUGGGAUUUGUGGGCAUGGAGAACUGAGAACUGGUGCACUCAUGAAGGUUAUGAAGAUCAUGCUGUCUUGUAUUCCAUAAGUGAUAAAGUUCUUUGUCACCAACCCAGAAGUGUUCUGUCUUUUGCCAGAAUCUAUUAAGCUGAGGCGGGCUA